CUGAUAUACUCUUCUGCUGGUAUAACUUGAUAUUCAAGGGCUUCCUGCAGCAGCUCAGCAUCCCUGAAAUAAGGUGACUGAGAGCCUCUCAUAAGAUGUGCACCUGAAUAUCAGUCUGAAUCACUGAUGCCCUCUUUGGGACCAGGGAGGACUCUAUACUGCAGGGGGCACUAGCACUCUUCAUUUCUCUAAGCCCAUGAGCAAGUCAAGCCUCAGGGAACUAACUUCAAGAGUGGGAAAGAGAACUUGAGACA
rnacentral:lncRNA from 13 species